rnacentral:rRNA from 1 species
CCUACGGGAGGCAGCAGUGAGGAAUAUUGGUCAAUGGGCGGGAGCCUGAACCAGCCAAGCCGCGUGAGGGAAGAAGGUACAGCGUAUCGUAAACCUCUUUUGUCAGGGAACAAAGGCGGGGACUAGUCCCCGGAUGAGGGUACCUGAAGAAAAAGCAUCGGCUAACUCCGUGCCAGCAGCCGCGGUAAUACGGAGGAUGCGAGCGUUAUCCGGAUUUAUUGGGUUUAAAGGGUGCGCAGGCGGCCUGUUAAGUCAGCGGUAAAAGCCCGGGGCUCAACCCCGGAGAGCCGUUGAAACUGGCGGGCUUGAGUUGGAGAGAAGUACGCGGAAUGCGCGGUGUAGCGGUGAAAUGCAUAGAUAUCGCGCAGAACCCCGAUUGCGAAGGCAGCGUACCGGCUCCACACUGACGCUGAGGCACGAAAGCGUGGGUAUCGAACAGGAUUAGAUACCCUUGUAGUC